GUCCUUUUGAUUUUUAUAUAAGGUCUGACCUGCCCUAUGAAUAUUUAAAUGGCCGCGGUAUACUAACCGUGCAAAGGUAGCAUAGUCAUUUGUCUCUUAAUUGGAGGCUUGAAUGAAGGGUUGGACGAGAUAUAAGCUUUCUUUGUUAUAUUUUAUUGAAUUUGACUUUUGAGUUAAAAGGCUUAAAUUUUUUUAUAGGACGAGAAGACCCUAUAGAAUUUUAUAUAUUUGUAUAAUUGAUUUAUUUAUUUAUUAUUUAAUUUCUUGUUUAAAUAUAUUUUGUUGGGGCGACGGGAAGAUUUUAAUAACUCUUUUUUGUUUUGAUCAUUGAUUUAUGUUUUAUUCUGAUCCUUUUUUAGAGAUUAUAAGAUUAAAUUACCUUAGGGAUAACAGCGUAAUUCUUUUGGAGAGUUCUUAUCGAUAAAAGAGUUUGCGA
rnacentral:rRNA from 1 species